ACAUGCAAGUCGAACGAAGCACGGACUUCGGUCCACAUGUGCGAGUGGCGAACGGGUGAGUAACACGUGAGAAACCUGCCUCGGAGACCGGGACAACCAUUGGAAACGAUGGCUAAUACCGGAUGCCCUCUUUUGGUCGCAUGGCCGAAUGAGGAAAUGAUCCGUCGCUCCGGGAGGGUCUCGCGGCCUAUCAGCUUGUUGGUGAGGUAACGGCUCACCAAGGCAUCGACGGGUAGCUGGUCUGAGAGGACGAUCAGCCACACUGGGACUGAGACACGGCCCAGACUCCUACGGGAGGCAGCAGUAGGGAAUCUUGCACAAUGGGCGAAAGCCUGAUGCAGCGACGCCGCGUGGGGGAUGAAGGCCUUCGGGUUGUAAACUUCUUUCAGUAGGGACGAAAAUGACGGUACCUACAGAAGAAGAUCCGGCCAACUACGUGCCAGCAGCCGCGGUAACACGUAGGGAUCGAGCGUUGUCCGGAAUUAUUGGGCGUAAAGAGCUCGUAGGUGGUUCAGUAAGUCGGAUGUGAAAACUCGAGGCUCAACCUCGAGACGCCAUCCGAUACUGCUGUGACUAGAAUUCGGUAGAGGAGUGUGGAAUUCCUGGUGUAGCGGUGAAAUGCGCAGAUAUCAGGAGGAACACCAACAGCGAAGGCAGCACU
rnacentral:rRNA from 1 species